UUAUUCUUUUCUUAACCACUUAUCCUUUCAUUCAAAUUUCCACUAACACUUUCUCUCUCUUCGUGGUCCCCACCUCAAUCAGUUUGACUUUUCCUCUCUUCCCUCAUUCACUCUCCAACCGUUUCCACUCUCUCUCUUUACUCAUCCAAUUUAUUUUUCCUUUCCCAAUCUCUCUCUCCAAGGGCCCCACAUCCACCCAUUCAGACUUUUCUCUUCCUCACUCCACACUCUCCCUUCUCACUCACGAUUCUCUCCCUCUUUCUCCCACAAAAGAAAAAUAUCUCUCUUUCUUUUAUUAUUCUGAUUUCUUUCUCUCAAAAACAAAAGCUGCAGAACACUUUCUCUGAAGCUUGUCUGCAACUUCUCUUCUUCCUCCUCACCAUUUUCUUCUUCCCAACAUGUCUGGAACAACAACACCACCACGAGCCAAAACCGCGAGCACCACCACCUCUAUGCCUCCUUCACGCAGCAACCACCACUGUCCAUGUUCUGUUUUUCCUCUCCAUGAGAGCCACCACCAAAACCCUAGCCGCCACCUUUUUCCUCCGAUCUCCGGCGAACCAUUAAGUUUUUGGAGAAACCAACGCCAGCACUGAACUCCUCUCAUCAACCGCAACAAAACCCCUUCAUCGAUUCGAUGAUCGGCCACCGUGACUCCGGCGACCGCCGCGCCGCCGUCUUCUCCGGCGAGCUUUGUUCUGAGAAAGGAGGCCAAUUUCUUGAAGCUCUCAACCUCCUCUUCCUGAAUCCAAGGCUCAAUCAUCAUUAAUAGUUUCAAUGGCCACUGGAGGAAGGGGAGAGCACGACUAGACCAGACCAGAGGAAGAAGUGAAGCUCAGUCCCAGGACCAUGAGACUUGAGGGUACGAAUGACGGGAGCGCAUGACGACGAAGCUAAAGAAUAAAAGGGAGCGAACCGACACGGGAAAGCAAAGAUGUGUUGGGAUUGAAAUUGCAGUUAGUAUGAGAAUUGGCUAAGAUGUCUUUGGCGGGCUGGUUCACGACGGUUCACCCUUCGGGGGGAACUAGGGUUGAAAUGCUGGAACAAGAGCGCAUCGCGGUCGCGAGAGGAGGACGGAUGGUGUACAUAGACUAGGUCGUUCUGGAUUCAGAUUCGGACGACGAUCAUGCUAGCAUGUAGGUUUUAGUGCUGGUGUGAGCUCCUCGAGAUGAGAUUAAUGUAGGAGUAGAGUCUUAGCUCUGAACAUCAUUUGUUUUUCUUUGGGAACAGAGUAGCUUCCCGCCGAUAGCUUUUUGUGUGGUUUCCUUACGGGAAUCACAGAGAGUUGGUUGGACUUAGGAGGUCUUGUUUCAGGCCGAUGGACCAGCUUAUUCUCAAUUUUUGAAGGUGUGAGUUGCGGAUACUCAACCUUUCCUUAUGGUUUGUACAUAUUGCCUACGGGCGCUACUCUUCUACUACCGUCACUGGAGGUUUACUCGUGACGAGGUUGCUACUUACAGCGGGGGCUGUUUAUAUAUUGUAUAUUAGUUCUAUUGCCUUUCGCAUUUGGGUUUUAUUUAAUUCAGUCUUGUCUUAGUUAUUAUCAAAAAAAAUAUUCACGUUUUUCCGCAUUAAGUUUACAUUUUGGUUACUAAAGUGACGCCACCGAAAUCGGGGUGUUACAAUGUGGUAUCAGAGCUUGUCGAGUCUUUCGGGAGUCUUUGGGGAAUAGGUCUUCUGUGCUAGGUUGUGUGACUCUACAAAGAGUGAAAAUUGAUUGUCUGCCAAGCGAUUUUUCGCUUAGAAUUGAUUGAAGUUAUUGCUUAAUCAUAUUGUAUAGUUAUGGAAAAGCUAUCUUAUGAUUAGUACUAACUGUUUGUUUAACUAAAAAGAACGAUGUUAACCUUCUAACCAUUCUUCCCCAUUCUAGUAUAAUACGCUCCAUUACUCUCGUAGCGCGUGCAACACACCUAACUUAGUUAUACUGUUUGAGCUUUGACCUUACAGUUAUUGCACCUAUUAAGGCUUUAUUUGCCCGUUGCUCGUGUUUAAACUAUAGAAGUACACGAGGUUUAGAAUGUAACGCUAAGCCUAGAAAGUAGUCUUGCACCGACUGCUUGUUUUUCACUUGGGGGUUACUGCUUCCACCAAGACUUUAAUCGUCAUUGUUAUUUUCUUGCAGUGCCAUGUGGUAUUUUAGACAGAGAUUGCUAUGCUUAUGAUAGUAAUAGGGAUGAGUAUAAGACACAUUCUUCCGACUAUUGUUUGUAUUUAACUAUAGAAGUUAUAUAGGGUUUAGAGAAUUUUUCUAAGUCUUGAAGUUUGUUUUAGACAGGUACGAGUUGGUAAGAAAGGUAGAAGCUAAGAAUGAAUCCUAAUAGAAUGUUGUAUGAGUUUCAGGAGUUAAGGUGUGUCAUUUUCAAGAUAGAAAUGUUAGAGAUUGAAUAGAUUAAGAGAUGAUCUCAAGUUAGAUAUGACUACUUGAUGAGAUAGACUCAUUGGCCUUACAAGUGAGUUUUUCUAAAUUUUCAUCGCCAAGAUAUUGAGCCUGAUCAACUUAAUAUUGAGGGUGUGAUAUUCGGAAUCACAGCUGGCAUGGAUUAUGAUAGGAAGAUUGAUUAUAUUUGAUCAAUGAUUAGUCGAGUUUGGUAGGUAGGUUUAUGUUAAGCACUUGAUUGUAAAUGAUUAAGAUUUAAAUUUUGGAAGUUGAUGAUUGUCGUAUAGACAUUAAUUGGUUAAUUCGCGUGAUUACUCCAAGUAGAGGUAGACUAAGUCAAGAGAUUUAAAUGUUGGAGAGUCUUAAGUAUUCUUUCGGAAGUUAUGAAGCCAUAGGUUAUGUGAUUUCGUGCUAAUUGCACUAAGAGACUAGACUUGAUGGAUUACCGCCUAGUUAGACUCAAGAGGUAUAAGUGUUGAUCAAGCGAAGAUUUUGGAUUUUGGGGAAACAUGUUAAGUUGGCAAUGGAGAGUUACUAAGUUGAAUUGGAAUCUUAGGGAUAAGAUUAACAUGGUAAGUUGAGAAUCACGUACAAGUAAGAGAUCUUAUGGUUAUAGCUGUGACAAUAGGAGUUGAAUCUUAGAAGAUUAAAGAUCUGAAGAUGAGUUUCGGGUUAAGUCCCUUGAGGUUGCUGGCAUAUUGAGCCAUGUGAUGAGAUUUGAAUGAUGUUAGCAUAAUAAGUUAUGAUUGUGAAUAUCAGAAUCAAGUUGUGAACGUGAGAGCAUGACGACACUUGUCAGGUCGUUCGUGUAAGCUAUCGAGUUCGGAUUUGGAUCUCGGUGCCUAUAGCACUAGCUUAAGCGAGGUAUCUAGGUUUAUUUGAACAUGAUUUCUAAGUAUCUAAGCGUUGUUAUUGUCUUUUAGGUCACCUUUGAGGUUAUUUUGUUGUAAUGUUUCUUAGGUUUUGGGAUUCGUGCUAACGCCGCUAGUAAGUUGGAUGAAAUUAGGAGGGAAUGAUAUUCCCGAGUUUUCUCUUACUUCAAGUUUCGAGGACGAAACUUUCUUUUUGGAGGGUGGUAUUGUAAGAUCCAUAAUUAGAUAGACUAUUUAUUUAUUUAACUCCUUAAUUCACGGCAACGCGUAUUAUUUAUUAAUUAAUUAUGAUUGAAAUAUUAUACGCGUCACGACGACGAGAAAUACCUUAAGGAAUAUUUUCCUUAUAGUUAUUUAAUCGCGCAUUUAUAUUGUAGUAUUUUUAUAAUAUUUUCUUGACUCGAAUCUAAUCGCGAUUUGAGGAAAUUUAUUAAGAUAAUUAAUUUCAAUAUUUCAAUCUUAUAGAGGUUUAUUUAAAUACAAAAAUAAAAUUAGAAUUAUUUUCGUGUGUUAUUUCAUUUUAAUCUUAGGAAUUUAUAAUAUUUAAUUAUCUCUUUCUCUUAUAGAAAUGACAUGCUCUAACAUGUCACAUUUUUAUAAUUACCUAUGUUAGCCUAUCACCAAAGAAUAUUCUUUAUUCUUUUCUUAACCACUUAUCCUUUCAUUCAAAUUUCCACUAACACUUUCUCUCUCUUCGUGGUCCCCACCUCAAUCAGUUUGACUUUUCCUCUCUUCCCUCAUUCACUCUCCAACCGUUUCCACUCUCUCUCUUUACUCAUCCAAUUUAUUUUUCCUUUCCCAAUCUCUCUCUCCAAGGGCCCCACAUCCACCCAUUCAGACUUUUCUCUUCCUCACUCCACACUCUCCCUUCUCACUCACGAUUCUCUCCCUCUUUCUCCCACAAAAGAAAAAUAUCUCUCUUUCUUUUAUUAUUCUGAUUUCUUUCUCUCAAAAACAAAAGCUGCAGAACACUUUCUCUGAAGCUUGUCUGCAACUUCUCUUCUUCCUCCUCACCAUUUUCUUCUUCCCAACAUGUCUGGAACAACAACACCACCACGAGCCAAAACCGCGAGCACCACCACCUCUAUGCCUCCUUCACGCAGCAACCACCACUGUCCAUGUUCUGUUUUUCCUCUCCAUGAGAGCCACCACCAAAACCCUAGCCGCCACCUUUUUCCUCCGAUCUCCGGCGAACCAUUAAGUUUUUGGAGAAACCAACGCCAGCACUGAACUCCUCUCAUCAACCGCAACAAAACCCCUUCAUCGAUUCGAUGAUCGGCCACCGUGACUCCGGCGACCGCCGCGCCGCCGUCUUCUCCGGCGAGCUUUGCUCUGAGAAAGGAGGCCAAUUUCUUGAAGCUCUCAACCUCCUCUUCCUGAAUCCAAGGCUCAACCAUCAUUAAUAGUUUCAAUGGCCACUGGAGGAAGGGGAGAGCACGACUAGACCAGACCAGAGGAAGAAGUGAAGCUCAGUCCCAGGACCAUGAGACUUGAGGUAGAAGGAGAAAGAUUUGAACACUGUGUUUAGAAAUUAUAUGUUAAUAGAAAAAAAAAAUAUAGUGGUAGUAUUUUGGGCUUAUCCUUGUAUUAAUUAGUUAUGAUGGAAAAUGAUAUUGUUGGUGUCUAUAUUGGUAUUGUUAUUCUAAAAAUAAAACCAUAUGUUAAAGUUGAAGUAAAUGUUUUGAAGGUUACACUUAGGUUAUUUUGGCUGAUGAGAUCAAUGGAGUUAUAUUGAAAAUAAAUAAUUAAAAAUUUCAAUC